ACCUGGCUGGCUCAGUUGGUGGGCAUGCGACUCUUGAUCUCAGGGUUGUGGGUUCGAGCCCCACGUUGGGUG